rnacentral:rRNA from 1 species
AUUGAACGCUGGCGGCAGGCCUAACACAUGCAAGUCGAACGAGUGGCGGACGGGUGAGUAAUGUCUGGGAAACUGCCUGAUGGAGGGGGAUACCUACUGGAAACGGUAGCUAAUACCGCAUACCAUCAAAUGUGCCCAGAUGGGAUUGGCUAGUUGGGGGGGGAACGGCUCACCACGGCGACGAGCCCUAGCUGGUCUGAGAGGAUGACCAGUCACAAUGGAACUGUGACACGGUCCAGACUCCGACGGGAGGCAGCAGUGGGGAAUAGUGCACAAUGGGCGCAAGCCUGAUGCAGCCAUGCCGCGUGUAUGAAGAAGGCCUUCGGGUUGUAAAGUACUUUCAGCGGGGAGGCGUUACCCGCAGAAGAAGCACCGGCUAACUCCGUGCCAGCAGCCGCGGUAAUAC